rnacentral:sRNA from 1 species
CAUAGAGAUGUAUCAAAAGUUGCAGGGUUCUGAAGAUGGCUUGAAAGAAAAAAAUGAAAUAAUUGCCCGACUAGAAGAAAAAACCAAUAAAAUUACUGCAGCCAUGAGGCAGCUGGAACAAAGGUACAGCAUUUCCAGUCUUAGUUUCUUUUUUUCUUUUCUUCUUCCCUUUUUCUUUAUUCAGUUCCUACACCUGCCACAAAAACCAUUAGGAAGACAUAGAUUAGGACAUGUUUUUUGUUUAAGCCCAGCAGGAUUUUGCGUUUUUGCUUUGGUUGUUGCAUGGAAUCAAGUUGCUUUAUAUUACGCUGAUUCAUUUGAAGUUGUCAUAUUGUAGAUUUUUCUUAGAGGCCUAAUAUCAGCAGUUUCAUGUCGUUCAGUUACAUAAAACAAAUACACAAAUUAAAAUGUC